CAGCAGCCACGGGAAUACGUAGGGUGCGAGCGUUAAUCGGAAUUACUGGGCGUAAAGCGUGCGCAGGCGGUUAUAUAAGACAGAUGUGAAAUCCCCGGGCUCAACCUGGGACCUGCAUUUGUGACUGUAUAGCUAGAGUACGGUAGAGGGGGAUGGAAUUCCGCGUGUAGCAGUGAAAUGCGUAGAUAUGCGGAGGAACACCGAUGGCGAAGGCAAUCCCCUGGACCUGUACUGACGCUCAUGCACGAAAGCGUGGGGAGCAAACAGGAUUAGAUACCCCGGUAGUCCCUGUCUCUUAUAC
rnacentral:rRNA from 1 species